rfam:Mus musculus chromosome 12, GRC primary reference assembly.
AUGUCCUGAGCAAAAGGGUCCCUUUGGGAACCUCUCAGGAGGGGGACCCGGGUCAGGGGCGACCAGCAUCUUGCUGGCAACUCCGUGGGUGGGGUGGGGUGG